rnacentral:rRNA from 1 species
UACGUAGGGCGCAAGCGUUGUCCGGAAUUAUUGGGCGUAAAGCGCGCGUAGGCGGUUACUCAAGUCGGAUGUGAAAGCCCUCGGCUUAACUGAGGAAGUGCACCCGAAACUGAGUAGCUAGAGUACUAAAGAGGGUCGCGGAAUUCCCGGUGUAGAGGUGAAAUUCGUAGAUAUCGGGAGGAACACCGGUGGCGAAGGCGGCGACCUGGGUAGAUACUGACGCUGAGGCGCGAAAGCGUGGGGAGCAAACAGG